GGCCCAUGGAGGUGGAAGUCACAGAAGUGUGGAGGGUCCCCUCAGAGUCUCAACUCUCGAGCUCGUCCACACCAAAUCCGUCCAUCACAAUGUGAAGUCACCCUCCCGGGGUCGGCGCCCGCGGUGGCCUUGGCCUGGGCGCUGACCUCUCUGCAUUCCGCUGGAAAGACACAGGGCUCUCCUUCUCCUUGUUGAACUGGGGGCAGCUUUGAAAGGAGAGGGAGCAGAGGCAUCUGGACCCCAGCAAGGGUGCGCCCCGAGUCCUCGCCGUCGUGCUCCCUGCUUCCAGACGUGAGCCCAGCCAGCUCCUCGGAUGCACGCGUCGCGGCCGUGUUUUCCCGCCCCUCACAGACCCUCGGUGAUGCCUGGUACUGCCGUCGGCGGAAGCCCCCGUCACGAUUUCAAAAAUCCGUUUCCAAACUCACCCAAAAGCCUAAUUUCCAGACCAAUUUCCUUUUCUCAUCGAGUCUGAUCAUCCCUCCUUUUCCAAAUGCUCAGCCCCGGAGCGUGAAACACACAUUCAUCCCGGGACUUCGGGCCCUGCCUUUGGGGUGUGGUUUUCUUUUUCUUUUUUGUCUCCGUUGCACCCGACCCACCCCCACAGAUGGAGCCCCACGCGUGUCCAGGCUCGGCCCUCCCUUAGCUGCUUCUUUCUGGUUGCCCUCGCCUGGUUCCCUGGCCUGGCACCCAAGUUUCUGGCCCGAACCCCCAGCCUGCUUUCUGAGCUGCAAAGAGGUGGACCUCCAAUUACUUGCUUAGUAUUCUCUUACAUCUCGGAUGGACACUGGACGUCGGCACAGUUAGCCUGGAAUUCAUCUUUCAUCAGAAAUUAACGACGGCCCCUCCUCCAUGUCGGCCUCCCUGCACCCGGUGUCCAGGUGACGGCCGCUGCUCCCGAAGAGACCCUCCAGGUGACAGCCCCUCCCCUCCAUCAGUGUUACUGCUGCGUCAUUUGGCUGGUUGAUACGGUCCCUUCCUUAAAGCAGGGCGAGGCCUCUUGCUCUUGGCCCCCGUGGCUCCACCACUCAAAACCCUGCCAUGGCUCCUGAGUUGAGCCAGGGUACGCAGACUCUCACAGAUUUGAAGUUCGACUCUUGGACAGUGAAUCAUUUUCAUUUUUGUUUUGCUGGCAAAUAAAUAUGCAGAAUAAGAAUCCCCCUGGGUGGGAGUGGAUGCCUGCCGCCUUCCUAGCUCUUCCCGAGGGUGCUGAUGUUUCGAGGUUCUGAACACUUCUGUGGGGCGAGGAGUUUGCUGGCUCAGAGAAGCCUGACACCCUCAGGUCACGGCCUCGUCAGUCUCUCUGGGCUCAUCAGAGGUGUGCCGGGUGUGCCGGGUGUGCCGGGGAGGAGGGUGAUGUCCGCGCUAAAACUUCCCCCCAGCAACGUGGUUCUGUCUUCUACUUCUCGUGGCACCAUCGGACCCACCCGAGGUCACAGCGGAGCGGGCUUGGGCCACGGCCGACCCCGGCACGUAGGUGGAUGUCCGAUGCGGUGCUGGUGUGGCCGCUUCUCCUUCCUGUGCUCAGGGCAGACGUGGGUAAUCAGUCACGGCCUCCUUCAGAACCGGGAUGCGGCCUCGCCGUUCUGAACAAAGUGCU